AUUGAACGCUGGCGGCAGGCCUAACACAUGCAAGUCGAACGGGUGGCGGACGGGUGAGUAAUGUCUGUGAAACUGCCUGGUGGAGGGGGAUAACUACUGGAAACGGUAGCUAAUACCGCAUACCAUCGGAUGUGCCCAGGUGGGAUUAGCUAGUAGGUGGGGUAACGGCUCACCUAGGCGACUAUCCCUAGCUGGUCUGAGAGGAUGACCAGCCACACUGGAACUGAGACACGGUCCAGACUCCUACGGGAGGCAGCAGUGGGGAAUAUUGGACAAUGGGCGAAAGCCUGAUGCAGCCAUGCCGCGUGUAUGAAGAAGGCCUUCGGGUUGUAAAGUACUUUCAGCGGGGAGGCGUUACCCGCAGAAGAAGCACCGGCUAACUCCGUGCCAGCAGCCGCGGUAAUUC
rnacentral:rRNA from 1 species